rnacentral:tRNA from 1 species
GGAGGGGUGACCGAGCGGCUGAAGGUAACGCAUUGCUAAUGCGUCGUGUGGUUUACACUGCACCGAGGGUUCGAAUCCCUUCCCCUCCA